AUGGUCAAAUCAUGUUGAAACAUUAGUUUCCAUAUGAUCACCAAAGUUAAGCCAUCUCAAGCCUAGUUGGUACCUAGCUGGGUGACUGCUUGGGAAUUCUAGGUGCCAUA